UGUGAAUGAUGACAAUUCUUUCCCUGACUUCACCGUGAGGGUAAAAAAUGAUUUAAUGAGCCUGAUGC